UAUUAUGAUUUUUCAGAGAUGUUAUUGCACCACAGCCUGUUAGUGUUGGGAAUUCAUCUCUUGGACAACACUCCAGCCAGCCACCUCAGAUGCAAUUUGUAAAACCCAGGGAAAGGUUGGAAAAAAUGAAAAAAGAAUAUAGAAAUCUGAGUACUUGGAAAGAAAAAGUUGAUUAUUUACAAAGUGUACUUAGCCCAGA
rnacentral:lncRNA from 1 species